UGAGAAAAGCCAGGGCUGACCUCGGGCUCCUGCUGCCUGGCCCAGCUUCCUGCCCACUGGAGGCUGUGUCUACGCACCUGCUCGGCAGCCUGCCCAGCCAGGGGUUGACGGCUCCUGGCACGCUCCAGCCAACAUGCCUUCAAGUAACCCACCUGCUCCAUCUUCCACAGUGAAGGAACGCCACCUGGGAUGCCUGUCUUUGUGUCUCAUGCCCCUUGUUUUCUUGUAACCGCACAAACAGUUAUAAAAUGAACAUUAUGGAAGGCCUGACCAGUGAAGAAUGGAAUCCCUCGGGCUAAACCCCACAUCAUCGCUCUGUAGCUUUAAGGAAACAGCUACAUCUCAAAGGAGCAGAGUUCCACAACCCUUGUGCUGGGCCUCCUGUGCCAAUGUAAUAAGGAAGUCCCUCUGCCUUGACCCCCACAGAAAAUGCACACACAUCCCACAUUUGCACCAGCCUUAUACACACACACACACACACACACACACACACACACGUAUGCACGCACGCUUCCGUCACCUUGGUCCCACCUUACUGACCCCUGCUCUGCCAGUGUCCCACAGAGCUAACAUCUAUUGCAUAGAAUAGAGGCUGGUCUGUUCAUGAUUAGGAAGAAACGUCAGCCCAGGGGCAGGGCCUUGGGUUUAUCCCCAGCAUAGCAAAAGAACCAUAUCACAUCUACAGACCCAUGUGUUAGACUCUAGUCCUUUAGCGAGGUGUGUUCUUCUAUGCUACUGCAGCCAAGAAGGAAGUCCUCUCCCCACCCUGCUAGGUCUCCUUACUCUGCCUCUCCUCUACAGACCCCUCAACACUCCACCCAUACUGCCAGGCUAACCUGCAUCCUGCAGACAUCCUAGAAUACGCUUCAAGACAUGCAUACGUAUUUGUACUGGUUAGUUUUGUGUCAACUUGACACAGGCUGGAGCUAUCACAGAGAAAGGAGCUCCAGUUGGGGAAAUGCUUCCAUGAGAUCCAACUGUAAGGCAUUUUCUCAAUUAGUGAUCAAGUGGGGAGGUCCCCUUGUGGGUGGUGCCAUCUCUGGGCUGGUAGUCUUGG
rnacentral:lncRNA from 1 species